AACGAACGCUGGCGGCAUGCCUAACACAUGCAAGUCGAACGAGACCUUCGGGUUUAGUUGCGCACGGGUGCGUAACGCGUUGGAACCUGCCCUUAGGUUCGGAAUAACCCCCCGAAAGGGGUGCUAAUACCAGGUAAUGUCUUCGGACCAAAGAUUUAUCGCCUUUAGAUGGGCCCGCGUUGGAUUAGCUAGUUGGUAGGGUAAAAGCCUACCAAGGCGACGAUCCAUAGCUGGUCUGAGAGGAUGAGCAGCCACACUGGGACUGAGACACGGCCCAGACUCCUACGGGAGGCAGCAGUGGGGAAUAUUGGACAAUGGGCGAAAGCCUGAUCCAGCAAUGCCGCGUGAGUGAUGAAGGCCUUAGGGUUGUAAAGCUCUUUUACCCGGGAUGAUAAUGACAGUACCGGGAGAAUAAGCUCCGGCUAACUCCGUG
rnacentral:rRNA from 1 species